CUCGCCUGUCCCCCCGGAGGGACAGAGGGGCCGCGUGCGGCUGAGACCGUUGGGAACCACCUUUGCAAAAUUGUAACUGAGGAAAUUGUGAUGGUGAAAGAAAUCAGACCUAACCAACUCCAUCUUGCUUCUAACCUUUAAGCUGUCCUUGUUUAUAUCCUGGGCGGAAGCCCAACUAACCUUGGGAAGGAAUUCAGUCCAUGGUUUGACUCUGAAACAAAAUUGAUAAGAGCCUGUGAAUCCUGAAAAUGGAGGCAUGAGACAACAAUCCUUGGAUCAGCUCAGUGGAUCAGCUGACACCACCCACACCGAUAAUCUGCCUCAACCAGUUCUGCCAAACCAACCAGGAAGAGUAAAUAGCAAGAAAAACUCCAACAACCUCUGAUUCCAUCUUCAACCUGGCCAAUCAGCACUCCCCACUUCCCAAGCUCCUACCCGCCCAAUUGUCUUUAAAAACUCUGUUCCUCGAAUGCUCGGAGAGACUGAUUUGAGUAAUAAUAAAACUCCAGUCUCCCACA
rnacentral:lncRNA from 1 species